GGGUUGUGAGGUUAAGCGACUAAGCGUACACGGUGGAUGCCCUGGCAGUCAGAGGCGAUGAAGGGCGUGCUAAUCUGCGAUAAGCGCCGGUAAGGUGAUAUGAACCGUUAUAACCGGCGAUACCCGAAUGGGGAAACCCAGUGUGAUUCGUCACACUAUCAUUAACUGAAUCCAUAGGUUAAUGAGGCGAACCGGGGGAACUGAAACAUCUAAGUACCCCGAGGAAAAGAAAUCAACCGAGAUUCCCCCAGUAGCGGCGAGCGAACGGGGAGGAGCCCAGAGCCUGAAUCAGCAUGUGUGUUAGUGGAAGCGUCUGGAAAGGCGCGCGAUACAGGGUGACAGCCCCGUACACAAAAGCGCAUGUGCUGUGAGCUCGAUGAGUAGGGCGGGACACGUGGUAUCCUGUCUGAAUAUGGGGGGACCAUCCUCCAAGGCUAAAUACUCCUGACUGACCGAUAGUGAACCAGUACCGUGAGGGAAAGGCGAAAAGAACCCCGGCGAGGGGAGUGAAAAAGAACCUGAAACCGUGUACGUACAAGCAGUGGGAGCACAGGUUUACCUGUGUGACUGCGUACCUUUUGUAUAAUGGGUCAGCGACUUAUAUUCUGUAGCAAGGUUAACCGAAUAGGGGAGCCGGAGGGAAACCGAGUCUUAAUUGGGCGUUAAGUUGCAGGGUAUAGACCCGAAACCCGGUGAUCUAGCCAUGGGCAGGUUGAAGGUUGGGUAACACUAACUGGAGGACCGAACCGACUAAUGUUGAAAAAUUAGCGGAUGACCUGUGGCUGGGGGUGAAAGGCCAAUCAAACCGGGAGAUAGCUGGUUCUCCCCGAAAGCUAUUUAGGUAGCGCCUCGUGAAUUCAUCUCCGGGGGUAGAGCACUGUUUCGGCUAGGGGGCCAUCCCGGCUUACCAACCCGAUGCAAACUGCGAAUACCGGAGAAUGUUAUCACGGGAGACACACGGCGGGUGCUAACGUCCGUCGUGAAGAGGGAAACAACCCAGACCGCCAGCUAAGGUCCCAAAGUCAUGGUUAAGUGGGAAACGAUGUGGGAAGGCCCAGACAGCCAGGAUGUUGGCUUAGAAGCAGCCAUCAUUUAAAGAAAGCGUAAUAGCUCACUGGUCGAGUCGGCCUGCGCGGAAGAUGUAACGGGGCUAAACCAUGCACCGAAGCUGCGGCAGCGAACGUAUCACUUAAAGCGAUUCAGCGGAUGACGAUUGACGGAGCGAAGCGACGUCAAAGCGUAUACAAAGUCGAGUCGGUUUAAGGAUACGUUCGUUGGGUAGGGGAGCGUUCUGUAAGCCUGUGAAGGUGGCCUGUGAGGGUUGCUGGAGGUAUCAGAAGUGCGAAUGCUGACAUAAGUAACGAUAAAGCGGGUGAAAAGCCCGCUCGCCGGAAGACCAAGGGUUCCUGUCCAACGUUAAUCGGGGCAGGGUGAGUCGACCCCUAAGGCGAGGCCGAAAGGCGUAGUCGAUGGGAAACGGGUUAAUAUUCCCGUACUUGGUGUUACUGCGAAGGGGGGACGGAGAAGGCUAUGUUGGCCGGGCGACGGUUGUCCCGGUUUAAGCGUGUAGGUGUGUGUUCCAGGUAAAUCCGGUUCACUUUAACACUGAGGCGUGAUGACGAGGCACUACGGUGCUGAAGCAACAAAUGCCCUGCUUCCAGGAAAAGCCUCUAAGCAUCAGGUAACAUCAAAUCGUACCCCAAACCGACACAGGUGGUCAGGUAGAGAAUACCAAGGCGCUUGAGAGAACUCGGGUGAAGGAACUAGGCAAAAUGGUGCCGUAACUUCGGGAGAAGGCACGCUGACACGUAGGUGAAGUGAUUUACUCAUGGAGCUGAAGUCAGUCGAAGAUACCAGCUGGCUGCAACUGUUUAUUAAAAACACAGCACUGUGCAAACACGAAAGUGGACGUAUACGGUGUGACGCCUGCCCGGUGCCGGAAGGUUAAUUGAUGGGGUCAGCGCAAGCGAAGCUCCUGAUCGAAGCCCCGGUAAACGGCGGCCGUAACUAUAACGGUCCUAAGGUAGCGAAAUUCCUUGUCGGGUAAGUUCCGACCUGCACGAAUGGCGUAAUGAUGGCCAGGCUGUCUCCACCCGAGACUCAGUGAAAUUGAACUCGCUGUGAAGAUGCAGUGUACCCGCGGCAAGACGGAAAGACCCCGUGAACCUUUACUAUAGCUUGACACUGAACAUUGAGCCUUGAUGUGUAGGAUAGGUGGGAGGCUUUGAAGUGUGGACGCCAGUCUGCAUGGAGCCGACCUUGAAAUACCACCCUUUAAUGUUUGAUGUUCUAACGUGGACCCGUAAUCCGGGUUGCGGACAGUGUCUGGUGGGUAGUUUGACUGGGGCGGUCUCCUCCUAAAGAGUAACGGAGGAGCACGAAGGUUGGCUAAUCCUGGUCGGACAUCAGGAGGUUAGUGCAAUGGCAUAAGCCAGCUUGACUGCGAGCGUGACGGCGCGAGCAGGUGCGAAAGCAGGUCAUAGUGAUCCGGUGGUUCUGAAUGGAAGGGCCAUCGCUCAACGGAUAAAAGGUACUCCGGGGAUAACAGGCUGAUACCGCCCAAGAGUUCAUAUCGACGGCGGUGUUUGGCACCUCGAUGUCGGCUCAUCACAUCCUGGGGCUGAAGUAGGUCCCAAGGGUAUGGCUGUUCGCCAUUUAAAGUGGUACGCGAGCUGGGUUUAGAACGUCGUGAGACAGUUCGGUCCCUAUCUGCCGUGGGCGCUGGAGAACUGAGGGGGGCUGCUCCUAGUACGAGAGGACCGGAGUGGACGCAUCACUGGUGUUCGGGUUGUCAUGCCAAUGGCACUGCCCGGUAGCUAAAUGCGGAAGAGAUAAGUGCUGAAAGCAUCUAAGCACGAAACUUGCCCCGAGAUGAGUUCUCCCUGAGACUUAGAGUCUCCUGAAGGAACGUUGAAGACGACGACGUUGAUAGGCCGGGUGUGUAAGCGCAGCGAUGCGUUGAGCUAACCGGUACUAAUGAACCGUGAGGCUUAACCUUACAACGCCGAAG
rnacentral:rRNA from 2 species